rnacentral:rRNA from 1 species
GACGAACCGUGCGAACGUUUUUCGGUAUCACUGGGCUUAAAGGGUGCGUAGGCGGGUUGUCCAGUCUGGGGUGAAAUCCCACGGCUCAACCGUGGAAUUGCCCCAGAUACUGACGACCUCGAGGGAGGUAGGGGCGAGCGGAACUGUGGGUGGAGCGGUGAAAUGCGUUGAUAUCCACAGGAACUCCGGUGGCGAAGGCGGCUCGCUGGACCUCUUCUGACGCUGAGGCACGAAAGCUAGGGGAGCAAACGGG